AUUCCGUGAUGAGGGCACUUCCGUAAUAAUCUUUAUACCAUUCCCAUGCCUCAUGCAAGGACUAAUCAUCCAUUUGUUGGAAAGCAGUGAUCUCGUUCCUCAACUU
rfam:Gossypium raimondii chromosome 4, whole genome shotgun sequence.